UGCCCAGCAACUCCUAUCCCUACAUCCUUGUGGUACCGGCCGGAAACUAUGAGCAACCUUAGGGAAGAGAAGG
rnacentral:ribozyme from 1 species